GAUGAACGCUGGCGGCGUGCUUAACACAUGCAAGUCGAGCGAAGCACUUUGAAGUUUUCGGACAGAUGAGUGACUGAGCGGCGGACGGGUGAGUAACGCGUGGGUAACCUGCCUCACACAGGGGGAUAACAGUUAGAAAUGACUGCUAAUACCGCAUAAGACCACAGCACCGCAUGGUGCAGGGGUAAAAACUCCGGUGGUCUGAGAUGGACCCGCGUCUGAUUAGCUAGUUGGUGAGGUAACGGCUCACCAAGGCGACGAUCAGUAGCCGACCUGAGAGGGUGACCGGCCACAUUGGGACUGAGACACGGCCCAAACUCCUACGGGAGGCAGCAGUGGGGAAUAUUGCACAAUGGGCGAAAGCCUGAUGCAGCGACGCCGCGUGAAGGAUGAAGUAUUUCGGUAUGUAAACUUCUAUCAGCAGGGAAGAAAAUGACGGUACCUGACUAAGAAGCCCCGGCUAACUACGUGCCAGCAGCCGCGGUAACAC
rnacentral:rRNA from 1 species